UACGGAGGGAGCUAGCGUUGUUCGGAAUUACUGGGCGUAAAGCGCGCGUAGGCGGCUUUGUAAGUUAGAGGUGAAAGCCCGGGGCUCAACCCCGGAACUGCCUUUAAAACUGCAUCGCUUGAAUCCAGGAGAGGCGAGUGGAAUUCCGAGUGUAGAGGUGAAAUUCGUAGAUAUUCGGAAGAACACCAGUGGCGAAGGCGACUCGCUGGACAGGUAUUGACGCUGAGGUGCGAAAGCGUGGGGAGCAAACAGG
rnacentral:rRNA from 1 species